AGCGAACGCUGGCGGCAGGCCUAACACAUGCAAGUCGAACGAACCUUUCGGGGUUAGUGGCGGACGGGUGAGUAACACGUGGGAACGUGCCUUUAGGUUCGGAAUAACUCAGGGAAACUUGUGCUAAUACCGAAUGUGCCCUUCGGGGGAAAGAUUAAUCGCCUUAGAGCGGCCCGCGUCUGAUUAGCUAGUUGGUUGAGGUAAUGGCUCACCAAGGCGACGAUCAGUAGCUGGUCUGAGAGGAUGAUCAGCCACAUUGGGACUGAGACACGGCCCAAACUCCUACGGGAGGCAGCAGUGGGGAAUCUUGCGCAAUGGGCGAAAGCCUGACGCAGCCAUGCCGCGUGAAUGAUGAAGGUCUUAGGAUUGUAAAAUUCUUUCACCGGGGACGAUAAUGACGGUACCCGGAGAAGAAGCCCCGGCUAACUUCGUG
rnacentral:rRNA from 1 species